CAACUGUUUUAAGUGUGAACAUCAACACAUUCAUUUAUUAAGUUUUUUGAGUCCUUGGAGGCUAGCGACCAUCUUGGAUUUGCCUGCCAUAAGAGCAAUGUUAAUUUUUUCAUUUCAUCUCAAAAUAUUUUUUUAAUACCGUACUGUACCAAAGUGAGUGUAAUUUAAAUAUCUAGUGCACUGUGAUGAGGGUUUUCUCAAUCAUACUAAACUUUUACAACAAGCAAUUAAGUUUAACAACCGAUGUUUUUAGCCUUGGGUGACCAUAAAAAUAAACUUAUAUCCGUUUCGGGCUUAAGUCUCAUUGUGCCACCUACGUAAAGAGCGACUUCCUAAUCAGGAAAUUUGAUCAAAAGUACUCAGGUUAAUUUUAGAUUGCUGGAAUUGAUAAACUAAUAUAUACUUUUAAGUUGGCUUUUAAAUCUAUUUAAAUUAAUAAUGUUAACUUUUAAUUUUUUAUAAAUGCCUUUAGGUCAGUAACAUGCUAUCACAACUGAAGUAGCCUAAGCCUUAAAAAUUUAUUACUUUUUAGAAAUCUUGAAGAUGCCCAAGCGGAGAAAUUAUGAUGUGACAUUUUCAAAUUUAAGUUGGCAUGGUAAAAGAAAACGGUUGAAGCAGAUGGAAGAUAGCAGCUCUGAGAGUUUAAAUGAUCUAAGUGAAAAUAAUUCCCCAACCAAUUUUAUCACUCUACAUCAGUCAAAUUCAGACAACGAUUCCACUGACACUGUAGUUGAUAGCAGGGCCCCCUAUGAAGAUUGUUUACAUGAACCUUUAUCUGAUGAUAUUCAUUUUGAAAAUGAAAACUCCCAGGAUGAAAUGGAAAUUGUUGUCUCGGAUGCAACUAUACAGUCAAACAUUUCUAUCGAAAGUGACUAUCAAUGCAGUUCUGAAACAAGUCUGUCAGAUUUUGAAUCUGAUAAUGAAACGUUAACCUCUACUGGAACUGUAAAAAACUUCUUGCGUAACUGGGCAGCGGAUAAUAAUAUCACUCUAUCAGCUGUCUCAAGUUUAUGUUCGGGAUUAAGAGAAGUUCAUCCAUCUUGUUUUAGAACUCUCCCUAAAGAUGGUAGAACAAUUAUGAACACACCAAAAGAUGUUAAGAGUGUGCAAGUACCUCCUGGGAAUUAUAUUCAUAUAGGAUUUAAAAAACAAUUGGAUUUUAUAAUUGGAGAACUAUUUAAUUUAGCUAUUGACAUUAAAGUAUUACAUAUCUUGGUUAACAUCGAUGGUCUGAGUCUGUAUCGAAGUUCUCCAAGUGAAAUGAUUCCGAUCUUAUUUUCAUUGCCAACAAUCAAGCAGUUGGAGAAUCUUGUAUUCCCAGUUGGUAUUUACUAUGGUAUAAAGAAACCAUAUGACCUUUCAUCUUUCUUGUGUUUGUUUAUUGAAGAGAUGAAUGACAUAUUAACUAAUGGGAUGUCAAUGAAUGAUAGACAUAUACAAGUUAACUUUCUUGGGUUUUGCUGUGAUGCACCUGCAAAGAGUUAUUUAAUGGGUGUAGUGGGUCACAAUGGGUUCAAUAGUUGCACAAGAUGCAAGGUAAAAGGAGUGUCAGUUGGUCCAAAGAGAAGAAAGAGAAGAAUCUUCUUACAAAUAAAUAGUCAGCCGAGGACCAAUGAAGAAUUCUUAGAAAACAGUGAUCCAACCUAUACAAGACGUACAACACCCUUAACACAAAUUCAAAAUCUCAACUUUGUCAAUGAUUUUAUUCUUGACUAUAUGCAUUUGAUCUGUCUUGGAGUAAUGCGUAAAAUGCUAUUCACUUGGUGUUCAGGGCAGCCUAUUACAGCAAGAAUUUCAGUCAGCCAACAAACAAUUUUGUCCGAAAAUCUUCUCUCUUUAAGGAAUGCAGUACCUGAAGAAUUUGCACGACGACCUCGUGAACUAUCAAAUCUGAAAUAUUGGAAGGCAACUGAAUUCAGAACAUUUUUACUUUAUUUAGGACCUGUUGUUUUAAAGGAUAUUUUAAAUCCAGACAAGUACAGACACUUUUUGACACUUCAUAUUGCUGUUACAAUAUUACUUAAUAGCAAUACAUGUAAACAUAAUGAUAUGCUCCGUUAUGCUCAAGAUUUGUUAAAACACUUUGUAACAAAUACAGUUAACUUGUAUGAUCAAAACUUGAUAACACAUAAUUUUCAUGGGCUAAUACAUGUAGUUGAUGAUGUCAUCCACUUCUCUCAAAAAAUCCCUAAUGUCACUUUGCACACCAUUUCAGCUUUUCCAUUUGAAAAUCAUAUGCAGAAAAUAAAGCGAAUGGUUAGAUCCAAAUCUAAACCCUUAGAACAAGUGGGUAGAAGAGUUGGUGAGCUUUUUUCAAAACAAGUUUCAAUAACACAUAUUUUAGAAGAACCUCAGUUCAAAAUCCACCACAGUGAAGGUCCAUUAUUAGCACUCUGCAAAGGUCCCCAGUUUAAAAAGAUAAAAUUUAAUGACUUCACUUUGAGUAUAAGUCCACCAAAUAACUGCUGUGGCUUGAAGAAUGGCAGUGUGGUAGUCAUAGAGAACAUUGCCUAUUCUACUGAACUAGAUGCCAAAGUCGUCAUAGGGCGCAAGUAUCUACAAAGGAACAAUUUUUUUGAUGAGCCACUGCUUAAUAGUAAAAGCUUGGGAAUUUUUAAAGUUGAGAGGUUGUCAUCAAGAUCUUUUUGGCCAUGUAGUGAAAUAGCAACAAAAUAUAUCUCCAUACCGAGAAAAAACUACCAUGUAGUAUUCCCUCUUCUGCAUGUUUAACGUAAACUGUCAGCAAGAUAUAGCCCUAGCCAAAACUCCUUCCAACAACCAUUCCUACUCCAACAACCAUUCCUACAGGUAAAAUAUAUUACUUUUCCUACUAUUCCUACUAUUCCUUACUAAUGCCACUCAUUCUUGAUUAAUGUUUCCCAUACAUUGCUUUUAUAACCUUGCACAUGUGGUAGUUAAAUGCUAUUAAGCUCUUUUAUUCUUUGGUGUUGGCGAUAAUAUAGUAAUAUAUAGAUAAUAUAGUAAUUUGUAUGAUGGGUAUUUCUAAUUUAUAAAGGCAACAGCUAAUUUUCUAUUAUUUACUCUUUUCAGCAUACUUACCAAGAAUGUGGACAAUCGUCAAAGUCAAGUCUACAGAUCAAUAUGACGUAAUCCCAAACGAGUGGAUUGUCUCUUCCACCCUGUGCUUUUAUCCAGACAAAGGUAAAAGUACAGCCACUAGAUUGGCCAAGGAUAGAAUCAUGCCUGAAAGCGAUUGGGAUGACUUGGAAAUCGCUAUCGUGAGACGUGAUCUAGAAGACUUUGAAAGGGCUCUAGAAAAUGUAGUCCGGUUGGAAAAAAAUCGGAAGACUGUAACGAGCAGUGAAAAUGAAAGGAGAGGAAGAGGAAUGAGAAAAAAAAACUUAAAAAAUUUGAUUACCUGGCUAGGUCAAGCAGUGAUGAUAGUGAUAUUGAAAGUGAUCAUGGUAAAGAGCAAGAACAGAUCCCCAUGGCCGUUUUACCCCUUCCACCACCAUCAUUCAGCACAAGAGUUGAAACUUCACCUCAUAUUGAAUGCCAACAAAAUUUAAAAAAAACUGUUGAGAAUCAACCAAAAAAGAACCAAAAUAGGCCACCAAACAGACUUACUGACGACUCGCCAACACCAUGCACAAUUUCUAAAAAACAUACCUGUAUCAGGACGAAAGGUCCGAAAAAUGAUUUUAACACAUUGGCCGCAAUGAUGUGUUCACUCUCUAGUGAAUUAACAUCAAUCAAAUGUAAAAUAAUGGAACUGAAAGAAAUUAUUAAAGAAGAGAAAAGCAGCCAGGAAUCUAAAGGAAGCCAGCAGGGCACAUAUGAAGAUUCUGACUUUGAUGACGACGAAGUAAAAGAAAUAUUAAAGCCAUUUCCCCUUACGUCGAUUGAAAGUUACAACGAAUAUGAAAAGAUGCUAGAUUCUCAGCCUCAACUCAGAAAACAGUUAGUGACAGCUUUUGUAUCAGUAGCCCGAAAAACAAGCUACUCUAGGACCACCACCAGCCUACUGAAGACGGUACUGCAUGAAAAUGUAAUUUCUCAUUUCACAUGGAGAGGAAUGAACAGGGCGUCACAUGACGUCAGUAGAAAAUCGUUUUCGAGCAGCACUCUAUGCCAAUUAAUACAACGUGCUGUCAAGAAGAUAUGGAGGAGUACGAUGUCAGACCUCUCAAAAAAAGUAGAUAACUGCAUGAACGCGUGGUUUAUUCAGAAUCAGCACCGGUUGAAAAAGGCUCAACUAAAUGGACAAUAAGAAGAAGCUGUGUGUCGUCACGAGUAAAACGGAGCAAGUUAAACUUGAUUCUAUAGACUGGAAUAAAACAAUUUUAUUAGUUAUUAUGAUAAUUUUAAGUCUUGUCUUUCUAAUAUGCCAGGGAUGUUGGUUAUGAGUUAUCUUUUUGUUUAAAUUUGUUCCUUGUAAUUUUUUAUUAGAGCCGCUGAUGGUAUUGUUAUAAGUACAAGGGUCAUCCACGAAAUAACCACCGUCUAUGCUAGAGAGAGCAAAGUACGAUCGCAUGUUCUGGUUUCAUAACCUAAAAACACAAAUUCUGCCAAGUGUCAAUUGUGUGGUGUAAUCAUAUUUCUGUAUUUGAAGAAUCACUGUGCAGCUAAAAUUCGUUGUGAAUUGUGUGUGGUGUAUGGCCCAAACAUUAUGAGUAAAAAUGUAGUUCGUCAAUGGGUUGGUUUAAAAAAUGGGAACAUCUCUCCCCUCCGGUAAUAAUCAAGUCUAAGAAAGGUUCUCCAUGUGAAAUGAUUCCGAUCCUAUUUUCGUUGUCAACAUUCAAGCAGUUGGAGAAUCUUGUAUUCCCAGUUGGUAUUUACAAUUGUACAAAGAAGCCAUAUGACUUUUCAUCUUUCUUAUGUUUUUUUAUUGAAGAGAUUAAUGACAUUUUAACAAAUGGGGAUUCAAUGAAUGAUAGACAUAUACAAGUUAGUCCAAUGUUAAAAUACCAAAUAAACAUAGCGUUUCACAAGGUCCAAAUUUCACAAGGUCCAACGGUACAGUCUCGGCGAGAAGUCGCUGCAGAGGUUGCCAUGGUUCGGUAUGUAGGCACUACACUACCUAGUGUUGUUGCCACACGUCACAAAACAAUUGUGAGUCCGUAGAUACGUUGUAAAGAGUGUAAAGUAGUGGUGUUUACCCCCUCCGCAGCAAACCUGCAGACUAAUCGAUUUUCCAUUUCCCUUAUUUGAUUUACACUAGAAUAUCUCCUUAAAAUGAUCACAUUUAUUCCCUAUUUAAAUAGCAUUAGUUUAACAAGUACCGUACUUAGGUUUGCUACAACAGGGAGUAAUCAGUAAUCAGUAGUUGAGCGCCGGCGGACGGUGCCUGCUAUCUGACCGUGGCAACCACUGUAGAGACUUCUGGCCCAGACUGUACCGUUGGACCUUGUGAAACGCUCUGUUUAUUUUAUAUUUUAACGUUAGACUUGUGAAAUUUGGACAUUGUGAAACUGUGAUUAUUUGAAUGUUAUAGUUUUUGACUUAAUGAAAUUUGGACCUUGUGAAACGCUCUGUUUAUUUGAUUUUUUAACAUUGGACUUUGUGAAAUUUGGACAUUGUGAAACGGUGAUUAUUUGAAUGUUAUAGUUUUGGACUUUGUGAAAAUUGGACUUUAUGAAACGCUCCCGGUUUGAAAACCAACCUAUGCAAAACACAACACCCUUUAACACAAAUUCAAAAUCUCAAUUUUGUCAAUGAUUUGUUUCGUGACUAUAUGCAUUUGAUCUGUCUAGGAGUAAUGCCACAGCCACCUCUAAUACAAGGCCGCGGCGAGUGAAAGCGGCAACGUCGCAUCAGUGUCUUGGUGCGCGGUCGUCUUACCAUUACAGUGAAUGGAGGAGUCGCGUACCGACGUACAUAAUCGCAUUUCUACUACCUUUAAUCAUUAUUAAUGACAUUAAACUUCUUACUACAGCAUGCCAGAUAGAUGUGAUGUGCCUGGAUGCAAGAAUAAUUACGAUAGGUCAAUUAAAAAUGAAUAAUACAUACAGUGUUCUAAGAUUCUACGUGAACCGCCGCGUUAGUAACAAAAUUGCUUCCUGCUAUGCUUCGAUCAAAUUAGACAUCUUAAAAUAAUUCUCGUUAUUGUGUGAAACAUUUUCACGAAUAUGAACUUAAAUUUGUAAAAAAAAUUAAGAAUAAGACUUUGGUUCGUGUAAAUAUACACGUGAGAAGCGAGUUUUAGGUAUGAGAAAGCCGUACUAUUUCCUUGUUUAUUUGUCUAUCUAUUGAUAAAAGCUGUUGUUAAGUGAUUAAAUAACUUAAAUAACUAGCACUUCGAAGAAAUAAACCGGUGUUUCUAUUUAGUAGGCCUACUAGUAAAAAAUAUGUACUACUUUAUCUAACAAUUAAAGCAUUGUAUUCUCCGACUCCAGUCUGAAUGUUGAUGUUAUGAAACAAUUCUAUUAAUAUUGUGGAAAGCCAUAUGGAGGCCUAGCUUCUGAAAUCGUUUACAAAAUGAAAAACGUUUUGCUUAGUAAUUAUUCAAAGAAAAUAAAUUAUUUAUAGUAUUAAUUAUUUAUUUAUUAUUUAUAGUAACUGUGUGCCUUCAAAAUGAAAACUUAAAAUUUUGUUUUCGCUAACUAAUGUUUUUCUCAGGUAGACUAAAACGUAAUAUUCCUAUUGAAAAUUGAAAAUUAAUUUGUUUCAAACAGAUUGUUAUAUGUUAGUCUCUACAAAUCCCAAAGUCUCUACAAAUAUUGAAGUGGCAAUAAGUUAGUCAGUCCUACUGUAUUACCAUUACCAUUCUUGUUAUAGUAGCUUUAUUUUGUAAAAUUUAAGCACAGUCUGUCUAGUAGUUUUUACUAUGUUGAAUAACACACAUAUAUACAGACACCAUGAGAUUUUUAUAUAAUAGUGUAGAUUAUCAAAUUAACAAAGGAAAUAUGUAAAGUCCAUCUAUUUCCACAUUCAUCGUACUUACAAUACGAUAAAUGCAACCAAAAACAUUAUGUUUGUAUAUUUUUAGUUUUAGACAUAUUGGGGUAUGUUGCAAUUUUUCACUAAAUAAACAACCUAGAUUCCAAUUUUGUCUAUUUUACCAUACCUUAAAAUCUACUAAAAUAUGUUAUUACGAAUUUAAAUACUUUCAUUCAUUGAUACAGAGCAGCAAUACUCUCAUUGAUGUUCAUAGCCUAGCGCGUGUGAAGACGGACGCAGAGGGGGGGUGAUUGCGGCGUUGCCAGUUCGAACGUCGCGGCCUUGUAUUAGAGGUGGCUGUGGUAAUGCCUAAAAUACUACUCACUUGGUGAUUUGGGCAGCCUAUUACAGCAAGAAUUUCAAUCAGCCAACAAACAAUUUUAGUUGUUUAGUUUUGGGUAGAAGAGUUGGUUGUUUUUUCUUUUUUCAAAACAAGUUCCAAUAUGAAAUAUUUUAGAUGAACCUCAGUUCAAAAUGGUAGAAUUUUUUAUGGCGGCACUUGUGUUUUUAGGUUAUAACAGAAAGCACAAUUACUAUGCUCUCUCUAGCACAGCAAGAAGCGCGCACGUUGAUGUGAGAAUGGCAGCGCUACCCCCACUACUUAUACUUGUCACGCCACCCCCUUACGGCAGUUACAUUGUGGAUGACCCUAGUAUUUACAGAAAGUUGGAUUUUUAAUCUGUUUUAUGGGUUUGUUCUGAUAUAAAUGUCAUUUCACUUUAGCUAAAACAUAGUUUAUUUGCAAUAUGGGGUUUGUCUUAUUGAUUAUAACUCCUGAAUAUUUUAUUGAAUACAUAAAUUUGAAUCCAAUAAAAUAAACAAAUAAAAAAUGUAUUUAAUUUUUUAUUAAAUUUUAAGCUAAAUUAUUAGUCUUGCUAUUCAAAAGUUUGUAACUGGUGGGACAACCCUCAAGGGUGAGACACGACACAGUAUGUACAACUAUGACAUUUUCACUCAUUUUAAUGUGUUAAUUAAGACUAAAAAAAUUAUAGAGCUAAUAGGAGAGUUCAGCAGGUUAAACAGGGGAGUGUAUUUUAUUCAUCUAUGUUAAUUUUAUUAAUUGUGUUUUAAAGUAAAUGUUUAUUGUUUUUUUUAAUGUAACUUUGUGUAUUGUGUUAGUAAAAUUUGGCUGAAUUUAAAUUGGAAGUUGCUAUUGUUUUAUGAAUUUACCCAGUAAAUUCUGAUUGGUUAAGUUUUUAAAUUGAAAAAUAUCAAGAAAUGGCUGAUAUAAAAUUGAAUUUUCUUUGUCAAAGAAUAUUUGGAUGGUUAGCUAAUUAGUUGAACUUGAUUUUGGAACUCAUUUAGUACCUUUUCUACUGGUUGUAGUUGUUAAGUUUUAAUUUGUGUUUGUGUAAAUUGAUGAAAUGUUCCUACUGUAAUUUGUUAGUGUAACUUGGCUAAAUCAUUGGAGGAUACACAUUGUUUAGUUAAUUUAGCUAGAAUUUCCAAUUCCUUAAGUUUUUAAAUUGAAAAAUAUUAAGAAAAGGCUCAUAGGAAAGUAAGUUUUCUCUGUAAAAGAAUAUUUUUGAUGGUUAGCAAAUUAUUUUAACUUGUUUUUGAUAUAGAGGAACUAAUCUUUUAUUUCAACUAUGAAUUCAUUUUAUUCAUGUACCGGUAUGUUGUUUAAAAUUUUAGAGCCCAGCUAUUAGAGUUGCACAUGUUCAAUUAGUUUAGUUGUAGUUAUAAUUUGUUAAUACUCAGUUUAAAUUAUCACAUUGGCUAAAAUUUAUUGCCGUUAAAUUUCAAUUUGUGGAUAACAACACAAGUUUUAUUUUUAACUUUGUCAACUUUUCAACUGGAGUGUUGGUUAGUAAUGCACUGUUACUGCAAUUGCUUUACAAAAAUUUAAAUCUUUAACCAAUCAUGUUAAUAGUUUAGUUUUUUAUGAACCUAUAUUCAGUGUUUUUCUGCAGUGAAAAGUUGUUGCUUUGAAAGAGUGUUUACCUUAAUGUAAAAAAAAAAUGUUUUUGAAAAGGUGGCUUGUGUGUACACUAUCUUACAAUCAUAACAAUAUUCAAAGUGACAAAUGAGAAACGUUAUAGUAAACAUAUAGCUUGGAUAUAGUUUUCCUUGUUUAGUUGUUGAAUGUAGACUUAGACUUUUAUUUAUUAAAUUUAAAAAAGUGAUUUCUUUAUUAACAGUGCAUUGCUAUUUAUUUAACACUCCAGAUGACAAGUUGACAAAGCUAAAAUCAAAACUGAAGUGUAUCCAGAAAUUUAAAUUAAAUGGGAAUUAAAUUAUAAGUUAAUGUUUUGAUUAGGCCUAUAUUAAUUGUUAUUAGCUAUGUGAAACAUUUUAUUUGUUCAUGAAUGACACUGUUCAAUGUACAAUAACUGACUUUUAAGUGAAUAAAGAAUGAUUGUCUCUUGA